UCGAGGAUCAUUCGCAAUGGGCGCAAGCCUGACGAUGCGACGCUGCGUGGACGAAGAAGGCCUUAGGGUUGUAAAGUCCUUUCGCUUGGGAGCAAGAGAAGCAUACGAAUAGUGUGUUGAUUUGAGAGUACCAGGUAAAGAAGCACCGGCUAACUCCGUGCCAGCAGCUGCGGUAAUACGGAGGGUGCAAGCAUUAAUCGGAUUUAUUGGGCGUAAAGGGCGCGUAGGUGGGCCAUUAAGUGAGUCGUGAAAUUUCUGGGCUCAACCUAGAAGCUGCGGCUUAAACUGGUGGUCUAGAGGCUAGGCGGAGAAAACGGAAUUCCAAGUGUAGCGGUGAAAUGCGUAGAUAUUUGGAAGAACACCCGUGGCGAAAGCGGUUUUCUAGCUUAUGCCUGACACUUAGGCGCGAAAGCAGGGGUAGCAAACAGG
rnacentral:rRNA from 1 species